rnacentral:rRNA from 1 species
AGAGUUUGAUCAUGGCUCAGGAUGAACGCUGGUGGCGUGCCUAACACAUGCAAGUCGAGCGAUUUACUUCGGUAAAGAGCGGCGGACGGGUGAGUAACGCGUGGGUAACCUGCCUCAUACACAUGGAUAACAUACCGAAAGGUAUGCUAAUACAAGAUGAUAUAAGAGAUUCGCAUGGAUUUCUUAUCAAAGCUCCGGCGGUAUGAGAUGGACCCGCGUCUGAUUAGCUAGUUGGUAAGGUAACGGCUUACCAAGGCGACGAUCAGUAGCCGACCUGAGAGGGUGAUCGGCCACAUUGGAACUGAGACACGGUCCAAACUCCUACGGGAGGCAGCAGUGGGGAAUAUUGCACAAUGGGCGAAAGCCUGAUGCAGCAACGCCGCGUGAGCGAUGAAGGCCUUCGGGUCGUAAAGCUCUGUCCUCAAGGAAGAUAAUGACGGUACUUGAGGAGGAAGCCCCGGCUAACUACGUGCCAGCAGCCGCGGUAAUACGUAGGGGGCUAGCGUUAUCCGGAUUUACUGGGCGUAAAGGGUGCGUAGGUGGUUUCUUAAGUCAGGAGUGAAAGGCUACGGCUCAACUGUAGUAAGCUCUUGAAACUGGGAAACUUGAGUGCAGGAGAGGAAAGUGGAAUUCCUAGUGUAGCGGUGAAAUGCGUAGAUAUUAGGAGGAACACCAGUAGCGAAGGCGGCUUUCUGGACUGUAACUGACACUGAGGCACGAAAGCGUGGGGAGCAAACAGGAUUAGAUACCCUGGUAGUCCACGCCGUAAACGAUGAGUACUAGGUGUCGGGGGUUACCCCCCUCGGUGCCGCAGCUCACGCAUUAAGUACUCCGCCUGGGGA